UCCAGGAACUGUUCUGAGAUGACAACUCCAAGUGUAUCUGAGAACGAUACGGGAUCAUACUCAUGUAAACUAAUUAUUGAGAACCCUGUGCUAAUGAUGGUACAAGGACUUUGAUCGACUCUAAUAGUGAAUGCAAAAGAAACUCCUACAUCUGGCUGGAAUUUUUCAACCCUUCUGAGGUGUCCCUUUUUUGUUUCUUCUGAGGUCUCCCUUUUUUGUUUCUUCUGACAAUUGUGUGUUAUUACAAAGGCAAAGAGAUUCAGUGGGCCUGUGCGGUAGCCAGGUGAGGAGAAGAAACGCUGCACACCAGGGCUCUAGAUGAGAGCCCCAAAGAGACUGACCGACGAACAAGCUGAGUACCGGAGCCGUUGAAGAGAACGGACAAGGAAAACAGAGAAAUGCAGACCAAGGCCGAGCAAGCGAAGGUCGGCGUUGCUAAAAGAAGCUGUUAGCCGAAGACAUCAAAACUGAAACAAUUAUUUUAUUAAAUUGUUUUUUAAAUGAACAAAGUGAUCUGGUGCCCCCUGUUCAUCGCUCACCAGCCAGUAACAUAGGUAAAUACAUACUGUAUAUAGAAUAUUAUAAGUGUAAAAUUGGAAGACCUUAAAGUUCACAAGGCGUGCAAACAUACCAUAUAAAAACAGAUAAAUACUGUAAAUUGUAUUUGGGGGCUAAAACCCUGGUCCUGGCUCAGUUAGACUUAUAGAUCUAUUAUAGAAAUAGAAACGUAUAGAUGAAUUAAACAAGUAAUCUGUUCAAUUAAGAUAAUUGUGCUGUUUCACAACUGUACUGGAUAUUUGGUCAUAUUGAUCAAUUCCAAAUGAUCUCUAAAUUUCUUAAUUUAACAUAUAAACUGCUUAAAAGCUCUGAUAAAAUUGUUACAAAAUUUUAGAAAUUGAUUAUUUGGAAGUGACCAAGUAACAUGCAAGACUGGGGCUCUCCAGGACCAGAGCUUGAGAGAGUACCUUUAAUUCUUAUUUUGUCUUGUAGAAAUACUUGUAGAGUUUUGUAUUUCUAUUGCCAAGUGCACCUAACUAAAAUUGGUCUGCAUUCUAUUUGGCUUUUUCCAUUUUACUAGACAGGUCAAUUUCUGAGAACAGAGGAAGUCAGUGGUUUUGAGCUAUAAUUUCAAUCAUUCACACAUUUCAUUUUUUGAUAUUAUAACGCUAAAGCCCGAAAAACACAUGCAGUGUAUAUUUUGUUUCCGCUACUAACCAAAAUCAGACAACUGAGUUGCCACUAAAAAUUGUGCAAACCACCUGCUCCGGAUAAGCCACUAGUGUUAAAGCAAUUGAAAGAGGGUAGUAUUUACAGCAAGUGUUUUAGCAGUUUUUAUUGUAACAGUAUGGAGUGGCCAUAUUACAGAAAAAGCCUUGAGAAUAUUUUAAAGUUCUUUUUUGGCAGUUUCCCUAAAUGUAUAAAAAUGUAUUAACAGUAAAUCUUUAUUUUGUCUGCCAUUGCAGUCAUUUGCAUGUCAUACGUUAAGUAUCACAUAUCUCAACACUGUAUCACAUUUUGAUUAAAUCUGAAUGCAAAAUGUUGCAUUCUUUAA